AUCGUCAGAAGGGGGCAUUACCUGCUCCUGGGUGGAGCACCAGGAUGAUGGUCAGCUGCUCUGCCCUGCCAUUCCCACAGCCUCUCCUUUCUGCCUGGCUCCCCUCUUGCCCCUCUGCCUGCCCUUGGCUUCCCUGGCUCUGAACUGAAUCCCUCAGCUGGUUUGGGACUGGGCAGCCAGAGCAGAGAGCUCCAAGGCCCGGCCUCUUCCCUCAAGCCCGCCUGUUCCUGCAUUCACUCUCCAGACAAGGUGCUCAUCUACUCUGUGCAACCGUACACGAAGGAGGUGCUGCAGUCACUCCCGCUGACUGAAAUCAUCCGCCAUUACCAGUUGCUCACUGAGGAGAAUAUACCUGAAAACCCACUGCGCUUCCUCUAUCCCCGAAUCCCCCGGGAUGAAGCUUUUGGGUGCUACUACCAGGAGAAAGUUAAUCUCCAGGAACGGAGGAAAUACCUGAAACACAGGCUCAUUGUGGUCUCUAAUAGACAGGUGGAUGAACUGCAACAACCGCUGGAGCUUAAGCCAGAGCCAGAGCU
rnacentral:lncRNA from 10 species